AGUGAACGCUGGCGGUAGGCCUAACACAUGCAAGUCGAACGGCAGCACAGUAAGAGCUUGCUCUUACGGGUGGCGAGUGGCGGACGGGUGAGGAAUACAUCGGAAUCUACUUUUUCGUGGGGGAUAACGUAGGGAAACUUACGCUAAUACCGCAUACGACCUACGGGUGAAAGCAGUGGAUCUUCGGACCUUGCGCGAUUGAAUGAGCCGAUGUCGGAUUAGCUAGUUGGCGGGGUAAUGGCCCACCAAGGCAACGAUCCGUAGCUGGUCUGAGAGGAUGAUCAGCCACACUGGAACUGAGACACGGUCCAGACUCCUACGGGAGGCAGCAGUGGGGAAUAUUGGACAAUGGGCGCAAGCCUGAUCCAGCCAUACCGCGUGGGUGAAGAAGGCCUUCGGGUUGUAAAGCCCUUUUGUUGGGAAAGAAAAGCAGCAGGUUAAUACCCCGCUGUUCUGACGGUACCCAAAGAAUAAGCACCGGCUAACUUCGUG
rnacentral:rRNA from 1 species